UUUUUUUUUUACUGCGUCGGUGGCAAACAAGCAUACGGCCCGCCUGGUGUUAAGCAGUCUGCGUAGCCUAUGUACGCCUGCAACUCCAGAGGAGUUACAUGCGCGUUGCCGACCCUAACACGACCGCACCCUCGUUGAGCUCUGGCAACCUUACUCACCGGCAGGAACAUGACACUAUGAGUAGGGUCUAGUGUUAUUUGGCUGCGGUUUUCUGUCAGGAUCAUGUCGUGGAGGUACUUCCCCAGUUGGGCUCUGCUCUAGAUCUGGUAUAACAUCCGCUGUGCUGUGCCCUACCACACAAAGCGAGAUGACAUUCACAGUGCCCAUACCUCUCUUUUAGACGUAGUUUAAAGACACACCCGGGUCCAAAAUUUUUUGAGUUUAUCGCGAACAUACAUACAUACAGACAGACGCGGCAG